UGGGGCCGUGUUUUUCACAAAAUUGGCAUGACCAGAUUGUAUUUGUGUCCAUGGUUAUAGCCAAUAGCUUUUAUUCAUUAUCAGUUUCAACCAGUUUUUGCCAUGUAUCUCUUAAGGAGAAACACAUCUAUAUAUUAGAAGAUCAAAGACCUUUCUUCGCCGCAAGGCAUACCAGCAGGAGUACUAGUUUUUGCGGGGAAAUCCCGGAUUGGGGACCAGGAAGAACCCAGCAAAAGACACUGCUGAAAGCCCAAGUUUUUGCGCACCCGUUUGCAGUGCUGCUUGGCACAGUUUACGGCACUUGUGUUACUGACUAACUAGGAAGAGGGGGAGCCAUGCUGCUGUAGAGCCAGUGGGGAGGUGGUUUUGGAUCUAGUAUAAAAAGGGCUCGAAAAUCAGCCAAUAUUAUCACAACUUAUUGAACAGCUGAACUCGUUUAGCCUUCCUUACAGAAAAAAAUGGCCAAAUCGCUUCUGAUGAUUUUGAUGGUGUCUUUGGUGCUGCUGGCAAUUGUCAGCGAGUUCGGUGGACUCGUCGAGGGAUGUUUCUGCUGUGAAAAUGGCGAUUUAUCCCAAGGCAACUGUUGUCGUUGGCGUUGCGAUGGUGGAGGAUGUGGCUGCAGACCUUUCUUUGCUCUUCACUGCGGUGCACCCGACAGGUGUGGUGCAGAAUCACCCUAACCGAAAUAGUAGUUCAUCACUUGUUUUACAUGCAACCGAACUGGACCGAAUUUGUUAUCCGACCGAGAUUAUCCGAAACAACUGCAGAAUUUAAUAAAAAAAUGGG